rnacentral:rRNA from 1 species
AUUGAACGCUGGCGGCAGGCCUAACACAUGCAAGUCGAGCGAGUGGCGGACGGGUGAGUAAUGUCUAGGAAACUGCCUGAUGGAGGGGGAUAACUACUGGAAACGGUAGCUAAUACCGCAUACCAUCGGAUGUGCCCAGAUGGGAUUAGCUAGUAGGUGGGGUAAAGGCUCACCUAGGCGACGCUCCCUAGCUGGUCUGAGAGGAUGACCAGCCACACUGGAACUGAGCCACGGUCCAGACUCCUACGGGAGGCAGCAGUGGGGAAUAUUGCACAAUGGGCGCAAGCCUGAUGCAGCCAUGCCGGGUGUGUGAAGAAGGCCUUCGGGUUGUAAAGUACUUUCAGCGGGGAGGCGUUACUCGCAGAAGAAGCACCGGCUAACUCCGUGCCAGCAGCCGCGGUAAUUC